rnacentral:tRNA from 1 species
GUGCAUCUAGCUCAAUUGGUAGAGCGGAAGGUUUUUUCCCUUGUGGUCGUGAGUUUGAACCCCACGGUGGACG